AUUGAACGCUGGCGGCAGGCUUAACACAUGCAAGUCGAGCGGGGUGAUGGUGCUUGCACUAUCACUUAGCGGCGGACGGGUGAGUAAUGCUUAGGAAUCUGCCUAUUAGUGGGGGACAACAUCUCGAAAGGGAUGCUAAUACCGCAUACGUCCUACGGGAGAAAGCAGGGGAUCACUUGUGACCUUGCGCUAAUAGAUGAGCCUAAGUCGGAUUAGCUAGUUGGUGGGGUAAAGGCCUACCAAGGCGACGAUCUGUAGCGGGUCUGAGAGGAUGAUACGCAACAGUGGGACUGAGACGCGGACCAGACUCCUACGGAAGGCAGCAGUGGGGAAAAUUGGACAAAUGGGUGAACCCUGGUCCAGCCAUGCCGCGAGUGUGAAGAAGGCCUUAUGGUUGUAAAGCACUUUAAGCGAGGAGGAGGCUCUUUUAGUUAAUACCCAAGAUGAGUGGACGUUACUCGCAGAAGAAGCACCGGCUAACUCUGUGCCAGCAGCCGCAGUAAAAC
rnacentral:rRNA from 1 species